rnacentral:rRNA from 2 species
CAACUUUCAACAACGGAUCUCUUGGUUCUGGCAUCGAUAAAGAACGCAGCGAAAUGCGAUACGUAGUGUGAAUUGCAGAAUUCAGUGAAUCAUCGAAUCUUUGAACGCACAUUGCGCCCUUUGGUAUUCCAAAGGGCAUGCCUGUUCGAGCGUCAU